rnacentral:rRNA from 1 species
AUUGAACGCUGGCGGCAGGCCUAACACAUGCAAGUCGAGCGGAUGAAGGGAGCUUGCUCCUGGAUUCAGCGGCGGACGGGUGAGUAAUGCCUAUGAAUCUGCCUGGUAGUGGGGGAUAACGUCCGGAAACGGGCGCUAAUACCGCAUACGUCCUGAGGGAGAAAGUGGGGGAUCUUCGGACCUCACGCUAUCAGAUGAGCCUAGGUCGGAUUAGCUAGUUGGUGGGGUAAAGGCCUACCAAGGCGACGAUCCGUAACUGGUCUGAGAGGAUGAUCAGUCACACUGGAACUGAGACACGGUCCAGACUCCUACGGGAGGCAGCAGUGGGGAAUAUUGGACAAUGGGCGAAAGCCUGAUCCAGCCAUGCAGCGUGUGUGAAGAAGGUCUUCGGAUUGUAAAGCACUUUAAGUUGGGAGGAAGGGCAGUAAGUUAAUAACUUGCUGUUUUGACGUUACCAACAGAAUAAGCACCGGCUAACUUCGUG